UAGGUAACCUGCCUCUAAGAUUGGGAUAACUUGUCGAAAGACGAGCUAAUACCAAAUAAGACCACGGUCUCCUCGGGGACAGAGGUCAAAGGUAGCCUCUAUUUAUAAGCUAUCGCUGAGAGAUGGGCCUGCGUACCAUUAGCUUGUUGGUGAGGUAACGGCUCACCAAGGCAAAGAUGGUUAGCUGGUCUGAGAGGAUGAUCAGCCCACGCUAGGAACUGACGANACCGGU
rnacentral:rRNA from 1 species